rnacentral:rRNA from 1 species
CCUACGGGAGGCAGCAGUGGGGAAUAUUGGACAAUGGGCGAAAGCCUGAUCCAGCAAUGCCGCGUGAGUGAUGAAGGCCUUAGGGUUGUAAAGCUCUUUUACCAGGGAUGAUAAUGACAGUACCUGGAGAAUAAGCUCCGGCUAACUCCGUGCCAGCAGCCGCGGUAAUACGGAGGGAGCUAGCGUUGUUCGGAAUUACUGGGCGUAAAGCGUACGUAGGCGGUUAUUCAAGUCAGAGGUGAAAGCCCGGGGCUCAACCCCGGAACUGCCUUUGAAACUAGAUAGCUAGAAUCUUGGAGAGGUUAGUGGAAUUCCGAGUGUAGAGGUGAAAUUCGUAGAUAUUCGGAAGAACACCAGUGGCGAAGGCGACUAACUGGACAAGUAUUGACGCUGAGGUACGAAAGCGUGGGGAGCAAACAGGAUUAGAUACCCUGGUAGUCCACGCCGUAAACGAUGAUAACUAGUUGUUCGGGCACUUGGUGCCUGAGUGACGCAGCUACGCAUAGUUAUCGCCGUGGUAGGUACGGUCGCAGAUAAACUACAAGAAGUAGAGCGNGAGAGNGCGACGACGACGACGAGGAGAG